UCUUCUCUUCUGCUGCUUCCUCCUAGGUUAACCAUCAUCCUUGCCUUUCCUCAGCUUCUAGGCUUUGAUUCUUUCUACAAUUUUGUAUCUUACCCCGGCCGCCGGAAACUAACCCCCUGCUUCCUCCUAGGUUAACCAUAAUCCUUGCUUUUGCCCAGCUUCUAGGCUUUGAUUCUUUCUACAAUUUUCUUCAUCUUACUCCGGCCGCCGGCAACAACCCCCACUUAGGUGUCCUGCACUCUCCUCUCACUUCACUACUACUAGCCCCUUCCGGGAAAAACCCUACUCUUCUUGUCUUCUUUCAAAAGGAAUCUCUGUUUUGGAUUUUGAUGCCAAGGACUGGUUAGGGUUUAGUUUCCUUGAUGGAUAAGGAUAAGUCAUCUCCUCAUGGAGGGUUACCGCCGACUCCCACAGGCGGGCGGUUGCCGGGC
rnacentral:lncRNA from 1 species